AUAAGACACAGGUAGAAAUUUGAAGGACUUCAUAAAAUUUGCAUUACUUACUACAAAUUCUUUCUUGGCAAAUAGUUAGAAUUGAAAUAUAUUCCCCCUCCUCCCUUGAUUAGAGGUAAUAUUAUUUUGGUUAGUUCUGUUCAGGAAUUCCUUGAUAGUAACCUAUAAAUCAAACCUUUGAAUCCAGUUUAGACAUUACAAUAUUAUUGUUUCUCUUUUAGACAUAUAGAUAUACACAAACACCUGUGUGUACAUCUUUGUAUCUGUAUCUGAGUCCUUCACAGAUAAGGAUAGCAUUAGUUCUCAUUUUGCCCAACAAAUAUUUAUUGAUCAUUUUCCCCCAACAAUAUUUAUUGAUCUUUUAAAAAAUUUUUAGUUGUAAAUAAACACAGUGUCUUUAUUUUUAUGUAUUUAUGUAUUUAUUUAUUUAUUUUAGGUGGACACAAUACCUUUAUUUUUAUGUGGUGCUGAGGAUCAGACCCAGAGCCUCCUGCAUGCCAGGCAAGCAGUCUACCAC
rnacentral:lncRNA from 1 species